rfam:Streptococcus gordonii str. Challis substr. CH1, complete genome.
CAAUAGUCAUGAUGGUCAAAGCUCAUGGAUGUUGCAGGCUUUUUUGUCCUGCACUUCUGGAGACUU